rnacentral:rRNA from 2 species
GCAUAUCAAUAAGCGGAGGAAAAGAAACCAACAGGGAUUGCCCCAGUAACGGCGAGUGAAGCGGCAACAGCUCAAAUUUGAAAUCUGGCCCCAGGCCCGAGUUGUAAUUUGCAGAGGAUGCUUUUGGCGCGGUGCCUUCCGAGUUCCCUGGAACGGGACGCCAUAGAGGGUGAGAGCCCCGUACGGUUGGACACCAAGCCUUUGUAAAGCUCCUUCGACGAGUCGAGUAGUUUGGGAAUGCUGCUCUAAAUGGGAGGUACAUUUCUUCUAAAGCUAAAUAUUGGCCAGAGACCGAUAGCGCACAAGUAGAGUGAUCGAAAGAUGAAAAGCACUUUGAAAAGAGGGUUAAACAGCACGUGAAAUUGUUAAAAGGGAAGCGCUUGUGACCAGACUUGCGUCCGGUGAAUCACCCAGCUCUCGCGGCUGGGGCACUUCGCCGGCACAGGCCAGCAUCAGCUUGCCGUCGGGGACAAAAGCUUCAGGAACGUGGCUCCUCUCGGGGAGUGUUAUAGCCUGUUGCAUAAUACCCUUCGGCGGGCUGAGGUACGCGCUCCGCAAGGAUGCUGGCGUAAUGGUCAUCAGCGACCCGUCUUGAAACACGGACCAAGGAGUCAACCUUAUGUGCGAGUGUUUGGGUGUUAAACCCCUACGCGUAAUGAAAGUGAACGCAGGUGAGAGCUUCGGCGCAUCAUCGACCGAUCCUGAUGUUCUCGGAUGGAUUUGAGUAAGAGCAUAUAGGGUUGGACCCGAAAGAAGGUGAACUAUGCGUGUGUAGGGUGAAGCCAGAGGAAACUCUGGUGGAGGCUCGCAGCGGUUCUGACGUGCAAAUCGAUCGUCAAACAUGCGCAUGGGGGCGAAAGACUAAUCGAACCUUCUAGUAGCUGGUUUCCGCCGAAGU